ACAUCUUCAAUUAUAUUUUAAACUUUUAUGUACUCUUUUACUUGUGUUACCAAAAUAGUUUAUCAAAGUUGAUAAAUGAUAAGAAAAGACAAGUUAAGUUACCAGUCACCACCACCACCCACCAGCAUUCACCGUCGCGUCACCACUUGAGAGGUUUUGGAUUAGGGGUUGGGGGAGGUUGAGGAAGGGUUUUUGGUGGAAAACGAAAAUGGGAGGAGAGGGAAACCAGGUUCUAAUUUCAUAAAAUCGAAGAACUUACCAACGAUCAUUACUGAUGAUGUUUAUCGACGAUAUUACCGACGAAUAUAUCCAACAUAAGUAACCAAGUCCAUCAUCGACGGUCAUAGACCUGUUGGUAAGUACCCAUUCUGCACUCUGUUAGUAAAUCUGUCGGUAAAUGUAUUUUACCAACAGAUCAUUAACUAUUGAUAAUAAUCCGCUGGUAAUAUACUAUUUUCUUAUAGUGCAAGAGUUUUUGACCUAAGUGAUCAACCAAAAGUAGUUAACUUGAUGUGUUUGAUCAAGAGUAGUCGACCUGAGUGAUCAAUCAAGUUGAUGGUUGACUAUCUAGAUUGACCAAACGAACAUAGUAUACACUACUCUUACUAAUAAAAAAACAUAUGUUUCAAAUUUUUUAUUCAAUUAAAACUAAUUAAAAUUUGUAUUUUAUAAAUAAGCUUAUUUACUCAAAAUUUGACAAUAUACAUAGUCAAAUUAAAAGAAAAUUUUGAUUUGCUAAUUUUAAAUAUGUAUAAUUAAAAAAUAAUAAAACUAUGUUUCCACAUCCUAUUUUGUUUCAAAUAAUUGAAUUUUCAUACUAUCAAGAGGGGAUUCCAAUUUGCCUGUUAGGUUGUUCUUGACUUAGUAAUAGAGUGAAUGUAAACUAAGGAAUUAGUCAAUAGCUUUGAAAAUUGACUAUAAGAUUUUAUAUAUUUUUAAAUGCUUAUGCUUUAUAGUAAAUUUGGAUUUUGGGACAAAAUAAAAUAUGAUUUUUAAUUUAGCAAGUCAUAUGGUUAAUACGUAGUAAAAUUGGAAUUUCUUGCAUAAAACUGAAAUAUAAAACUAUGUACGUAUUAAUACAAUAAUUAACAAUAUUAAGAAACAUAAACAGAAGCAUAUGUUGAUAUGAAUUUGGUGGAAAAUUGGGAAGAAUUUGAAGUGUAGUUAAUGGUUAAUGAUGACUGACCACCAUUGCUAGGUCAAAAGUUGAAGAUCUAGUUUCUUUGUCAACAUAGGUUUUCUUUUAUUAGAUAGAUAAUCACUAAAAGAAGAAAUGUACCAUAUUUGUCCUCUUUCAUGUUAUCUUCUAUGUCUCCAUUCACAGCUUUUUCCACUUUGUUCACUAAAAGUAUUUUUAUUUUUGUUUAAAGGACAUUCUGAUUUUGCUGUUAACAAAAUGACAUAUGAAUUUCGCAUUCUCAUCAUUAACAUGUUUCCUUUUUCUUCCAAUUCUCCUAGAAAAUAAAUUAUUUGAUUGACAAGUUAUAGAAAAUUAAAGAGAAAAAUAACAAACUAAUCAAUAAAUAAGUUGGAAACGAAAACAUGAAAUACAAUAGUCAUGUUAUUGAUAACAAAAAUGAAACUUAAUAAAACGAAAAUGUCCAAUAGUAGUUAAUUAAAAAUAAUUAAAAUUAUACAAGAUUUAUCUUCUAAAUUAUUUUAUCAUAAAUUCUAUCAUCCUCUUUAAUAGUGUAAACUAUUAAAAGAAAUAUUAUAUAUUUUGAUAAUGAUUAAUAGAUAGAUAGGAAGUAUACAAAAUAUUAAUAUAGUUAUCAGAAAAAUAACAAUUUUAACAUAUUAUAUUGACAAGGUUACAAAAAAUUAAAUAAGUUUUUCAAAAGAUAAGAAACUCUUAUAUAAAAUAAUUAGUAAAAAAGUUCGUAAACAGUCACUUAGCAUCUUCUUCGGCUUUCACUAAUGGCAUGUCUAUACCUAACUCAUCUUUUAUUAAUACCAAUAAGUAGUUAUUACAAAAGAGAAACGUCACAAAAGGAAAAGAAGGAAUCAUAAACUAGUGUUUCAAAAGAAACAUCAUAAACAAUUUAAAAUAUAUAACAUAUUAACAAUUUGUAAAUAACAUAACUUAUAUGAAUAAUCAUAUAGAUAACUCUAUACUCAAUUAUUCAGAUAUAUGCUUUGACAUAGGGUUUCCCGGUAAGUAUUACUUGUAGUACUAUAAAGUUAUAAAUACAAAGGUUAUCACCCCACUACUCACGAGGUUAAUCUUUCACGCUUAAGACCAAAAGUCUAGGAUAAAGACCUUCUGCCAUUAUUUCCCUUACCUCAUUCAUCUUUACAUAAGUUGAAUGGUUAAUAGUAUAUCAUGAUAUUUCCUUUCUAAACUCACAUAUGUCAAGCCUACACUAACAAUCACUGGGACAUAAAAUUUCUCCUUGAAAUUCUCUCUAUAACCAAAUCACAGCAUAUCAAAAUUUUCAUAUAUAUAUAUAUAUAUAUCAUUAUACUCACCGACAACAUAAAAAUAGAUACAGAUCAAUACUAAAACAACCAAAGAAAUCAACCAAGAACCUGUAAUAUGAAUUGGCGCUCAAUGACAAGAAUGGAGCUCAACAUCAUUCUUCUUGCAAAACGGCUCACUCAACGAGAUUAUUCUAUCGCUCAGCGAGCUGGACUUAAAACGAUUUCAAACCUAUAGUAGAGAAUGAUGCUCAGUGGUGCCCUACCACCGCUCAACGCUAGACCAUUUGCAAAAAUGGUCGCUCAACGAGAAAAAAAGGGUGCUUAGUGGUUUAAAGCUAAAAUGCUUCCAGAAUUGAAAUGUCAAGCUAGCGCUUAACGCCACAUCAAUCCUACUUAACGCCAUAUCAAAAAAUUUCCACUUCAAAUAUGUGAUUUGGAAAACCAAGGACUUAUUCAGAUGAUCAAAUUGGUAUUCCUAACUUAGUGUUUGGUUUAAAAAUCAUUCUUAGUGUCAACUUGAUCAAAUGUCCAAAUCCUCAAUUUUUCAAUCACCAUUGCCCAAGUAUCACCAACACUCAAUUUAAGAAAUUAUACACACCAUACAAUUCAGCACAAAAACAACAAUUAUGUUUACAUAUCAAACUCAAUCAACAAUAUCCAACACAAGCACACUAAAGUAUCUAGCUUUCCUUACCUUACAUAUGACCAACAAGUUCUAGGAGUCCUAAAACAACUCUAAAAGCACAAAAUAAAUGUUAUUUUCUCUAAUGAACAACAAAAACAUGAUCAAGGCAUACCGUUAAAAUCAUUGAUCAACAUAGAAUCUUAUAGAAGACCCAUAUGUCACAUACAAGCUCAGGUAGCUCACAUGCAUGAAAAAAAUGCACAUACUAAGGAAAAAAAAUUAAAACAAAAAAACAACUUAUUAUUUUGCAAAAACUAAUUAGUUAAAGUAGAAGACAUCGCCUCAAGAAUCACUCAAGCGGUUUUUUAUAUCCAAAUAGGUUAACAAAAGUUUAAGAAACUUAAAGAGGGGGUAGAGAGCUCUUAAAGAAAGAAUUUUAAAGAGAAAGUGUGUUUUCAAGUAAUGAAACUUGUUAAUAGAAAUUACUUUUAUACAUUGAAAUUUUAAUAUUAAUAUAAUAAAGUUUCAUUAUUUAGCACACGUUAUCACCACUAAGACACUAUUUUCUAGACUCUUACAUAAAUUCCUAACAUAAAUCCCUAAUUAUUUUGAGUAGGAAAAUAAGGUUUUGAUAUUUUUAAAUAACAUAUAAAUAAAAGAUAAAUAAAUUAAUCUUAGAAAAUACAACACAAAUUAUUUAAAAUUUAAACAAAAAUAAAUAAAUUUAUUUGAUAAAGUCUAAAUCAACUAGUAUUUUUCUAGUAAGUUGAUUUCGUGUUUUUUUUUAAGUAAAACAUCUUAUUUGAUAUUUUUUUUCACUCAUAAUCUUUAGUUAGGGAUUGUUAUUUAGAACAUUUCAACUUUUUCAUUCUAUAAUUAUGUCAAUAAGAAGAUUCAAUAAGUUAUUUUUUAUAAUGUCCAUGUAAUAUAAGAUGUGUAAUAGACAACUCAAUAUUAAAGUUAGUGUGUCUUAGAAUGUAUAUAAAGCAAAGAAAAUACCCUCUUAAUCAAUUUUAAUCAAACUUUAAUUGAUUAGGUUUAUACAAAUUAAAACCUUAUUUCAUUUAAUCAAUUAAGCAAAAUAACAUAAUCAAUUAAUAGAUACUGAUUUCAUUUUCUGAGUUGUGCAAUGAAUGUUUUAAUCUCACUAAUAUAAUUGAUUAACAUUGACAAUUAGUUAGUUUUCCUUUAAAUCUUGCAUCUUCUCUCAUUUCAAGAUAAUACUUUGUGAUUCUAAAAUUAAGAGAACAUGUGUGAAAAAGUUUUGAGUAUUCCAUCUUUGCAGAAAACAUUUUUAUUUAUAAAGAUCGAAGGGCUUUACUCUUGGCUAUAGGUUUGAAUUGUAAAAUCUUCAAUUUAGCCGAUAUCUUUCUUGUAUUCUUGUUAUGUAAUUUCAUUCUUUCUAUUGUAAUUCACAUUUAUGUAGAAAGAAUUUUAGAGAAAUAAUGUGUUUUCAAGUAAUGAAACUUGUUAAUAGAAACUACUUUUAUACGUUGAACUUUUAAUAUUAAUAUAAUAAAGUUUCAUUAUUUAAAACACGAUAUCACAACUAAGACAUUGUUUUCUAGACUCUUACAUAAAUCCCUAAUUAUAAGGUUUUGAUAUUUUUAGAUAACUCAUAAAUAUAAGAUAAAUAAAAUUAAUCUUAGAAAAUAAAAUACAAAUGAUUUAAAAUUUAAAUAAAAAUGAAUUAAUUUAUUUGAUAAAGUCUAAAUCAAUUAGUAUUUUUCUAGUAACUUCAUUUCGUGUUUUUUUAAGUAAAACAUCUUAUUUUAUAUUUUUUUUUUCAUUCAUAAUCUUUAGUUAUGGAUUAUUAUUUAGAACAUAAGAUAUCAUUUCUACUUUUUCAUUCCCUUUACACACUCACUCUCCCUACACACACAGACACACACGCACACAGACACACACAGACAGGACAGACACAUAGACACACAAACACACACAGACACAGACAGACACACACACAUACACACACACAGAGACAAACACACACACACACACACACAGAAACACACACAUACGCACAUAGAGACACACACAUCUCAAUUAGUUAUUUUUUAUGAUGUCCAUGUAAUAUAACACACACAUACACUUUGUCAAUAAGAAGAUUUAAUUAGUUAUUUUUUAUGAUGUCCAUUUAAUAUAAGAUGUGUAAUAGAUAGAUCAACACUAAUGUUAGUGUGUCUUAAAAUGUAUAUAAAGCAAAGAAAAUACCCUCUUGAUCAAUUUUAAUCAAACUUUAAUUGAUUAGGUUAAUACGAAUUAAAACCUUAUUUCAUUUUUGUUUUAAUGGGUUAGAACAUAAUUCAUUAUGUCAUUAAUCGAUUAAGUAAAUAACAUAAUCGAUUAAUAGAUAUUGGUUUCAUUUUCUAAGUUGUGCAAUGAAUGUUUUAAUCUCACUAAUAUAAUAUAUUAAUAUUGAAAACUAGUUAGUUUUCCUUUAAAUCUUGCAUGUUCUCUCGUUUCAAGAUAAUACUUUGUGAUUCUAAAAUCAAGAGAACAUGUGUGAGAGAGUUUUGAGCAUCACAUCCUUGCAGAAAAUAUUUUUAUUUAAGAAGAUUAAAGAUUGAAGGGCUUUACUCUUGGAUAUAUGUUUGAAUUGUAAAAUCUUCAAUUUAGGCGAUAUCUUUCUUGUAUCCUUGUUAUGUAAUUUCAUUCUUUCUACUGUAAUUCACCUUUAUGUAGAAGGUUAUGGUGAUAGUGUGAAGCAUAAACCAUUCUUGCGUUUCUUGGAAGGAUUAUUUAAGGUUUUGUUUAAGUCUUGAUUUUAGAAUUAUAUAAGUGCAUUUGUAAUAUGAAACUUUUGAUCUUUAAUGGAAUUUCUAGCUCCGGUAGCUAGAAAAAUUAGAUGUAGAUUUGUUAUAAUUAGACCAAUAUAGUUCUCUUGAAAUGUUGUUAUUAUGUCAAUAAGAAGAUUCAAUUAGUUGUUUUUUUAAUGUCCAUGUAAUAUAAGAGGUGUAAUAGUUAGAUCAAAAUUAAUGUUAGUGUGUGUCUUAGAAUGUAUGUAAAGCCAAGAAAAAAAAAUCCUCUUAAUCAAUUUUGAUCAAUUAGGUUAAUAUAAAUUGAAACUUUGUUUCAUUUAUGUAUUAAUUGAUUAAAUAUAGACAUAAUCAGUUUAAGUUAUUAUUUUAUCGAUUAAGUAAUAACAUAAUAUUAAUACAUAUUUCAUUUUCUGAAUUUUGUAAAAAAACGUCUUAAUUGAUUAAGUCGCUAAAAUAUUCAGUUCAAUACAUGCUAUUCUACAAUUAAAUGUAGAUUAUUAUCGGUGUCUUAUCGAAUGGUCAAUUGCAUUUGGAUGAUAUAAUGUUGUAUAUUGGGUGGUUUGAUUUGGUGAGUUGUUUGAGAUUAUAAAUUGUUAAAGGGAGUUACUCCCUGUACCUCCCCAAUUGUCUCCCCCACCUCCCCCUUCCAUUUUUAUCCUUCCUCUAUUUUUUCUAUUCCUAUUUUAUCCUUUACUAAAAAUUUAUAUUUAGAAAUCAAAUUUUAUGAUUUUGUUCCCUCACCCCCAACCUAUUUAUUCUCUUUUUAUUUUUAUACUUUCAUCUUUACUCUUUCUUCUCCUAGAAAUUUUUUCUCCUAUUUUUUCUAAAAAUUCUUUCUCCUACUAUUUUUGUUAAUUACGUAAGAAAUUAUUUGAAAAUAAAAAGUUAAAAUUAAAUUACUUAAUAACAUAAUUAAAGAUCAUAUUAUAAAAUAACAUUAAAUUUAAAUUCUUUAUAAAUUAAUUAAAAAUACAAUAACUAAUAAAAUAAAAAAAAUAAAAUAAAAUAAUUAACUAAGAAAUUAUUUGAAAAUAAAAAGUUAAAAUUAAAUUACUUAAUAAUAUAAUUAAGGGUUAAAUAUGUUUUUCGUCCCCCAACUAUUGGUCGUUUUUGUGUUUAGUCCCUCUUUCAAACUAUAAUACAAUUUAGUCCUUCAACUUUAGAAAACUAUGGUUUUAGUCUUUUUUACCAAAUAUUUUAAACUUUAUUUGCUGUUUCAAGCACGUUACAUUAUAGCAUUUGGAUUGUUUACACUGUUUGACACAUUUUUGCUUCAAUGUUAACUGAGAAAAGCACGUUACAUUAUAGCAUUUGGAUUGUUUACACUGUUUGACACAUUUUUGCUUCAAUGUUAACUAAGAAAUGCGUUUGAAACAACAAAUAAAGUUAAAAAAAUUUGGUAAAAAGGACUAAAACCAAAAUUUUCUAAAGUUGAAGGGCUAAAUUGUACUAUAGUUUGAAAGAGGGACUAAACAAAAAAACGGCCAAUAGUUAGGGGACGAAAAACAUAUUUAACCCUAUAAUUAAAGAUAUAUAUUAUAAAAUAACACUACAUUUAAAUACUCUAUAAAUUAAUUAAAAAUACAAUACACUAAUAAAAUAUAAAAAAAUAAAAUAAAUUAAUUACAAAAGAAAUUAUUUGAAAAUUAAAAAGUUAAAAUUAAAUUACUUAAUAAAAUAAACUAAAAACUAAACUUAAAAAAAAAAAUAGCCCCAGACGGAUGUGGAGAUCCGUCGACGGAUGUCGACAUCCGUUAUAGCCUGAAAUGUUGUUGUCUUCACAAGCACACAGCAGUUAUGUCGUCUUUGCAGGCACACAACAGCCACACAACAAUCACAACCACACAGCGAUAAUCGAAGAAUACUAAAAAAUUAAAAAAACGAACCUGGAAGGAAGAUCCCGCACGGCAC
rnacentral:lncRNA from 1 species